AUACGUAGGAGGCAAGCGUUAUUCGGAAUUACUGGGCGUAAAGGGCGCGUAGGCGGGGGUGCAAGUCAGAUGUGAAAUGUAUCGGCUUAACUCAUAAACUGCAUUUGAAACUGUCGCUCUUGAGUGCUGGAGAGGUAGGCGGAAUUCCUGGUGUAGCGGUGAAAUGCGUAGAUAUAAGGAAGAACACCAGUGGCGAAGGCGGUCUACUGGACAGUAACUGACGUUGAGGCGCGAAAGCGUGGGGAGCAAACAGGAUUAGAUCCCCUGGUAGUCCACGCUGUAAACGAUGAAUACUAGUUGUGGGGGUACUGACCCCCUCCGUGCCGCAGUUAACACAAUAAGUAUUCCGCCUGGGGAGUACGGCCGCAAGGUUGAAACUCAAAGGAAUGGACGGGG
rnacentral:rRNA from 1 species